rnacentral:rRNA from 1 species
UACGUAGGGACCAAGCGUUGUUCGGAUUUACUGGGCGUAAAGGGCGCGUAGGCGGCAAUUCAAGUCAUCUGUGAAAUCUCCGGGCUUAACUCGGAAAGGUCAACUGAUACUGUGCGACUAGAGUGCGGAAGGGGCAACUGGAAUUCUCGGUGUAGCGGUGAAAUGCGUAGAUAUCGAGAGGAACACCUGCGGCGAAGGCGGGUUGCUGGGCUGACACUGACGCUGAUGCGCGAAAGCUAGGGGAGCGAACGGG